UACGUGGGUGCAAGCGUUAAUCGGAAUUACUGGGCGUAAAGCGUGCGCAGGCGGUUAUGCAAGAUCGAGGUGAAAUCCCCGGGCUCAACCUGGGAACUGCCUUUGUGACUGCAUGGCUAGAGUGCGGCAGAGGGGGAUGGAAUUCCGCGUGUAGCAGUGAAAUGCGUAGAUAUGCGGAGGAACACCGAUGGCGAAGGUAAUCCCCUGGGCCUGCACUGACGCUCAUGCACGAAAGCGUGGGGAGCAAACAGG
rnacentral:rRNA from 1 species